rnacentral:RNase_P_RNA from 1 species
UGAGACCCCUCGAUGGCCGCGGCCUCGUCCCCUGGUUCCAGGAAGACGAGGCUGAGGAACUUCCGGGCUCCGCAGAGCACGAUGGCGGAUAACGUCCGCCCAGGGCGACCUGAGAGAUAGCGCAGCAGAGAACAGACCGCCCCGCUCCUUCGGGAGCGGAGCAAGGGUGAAACGGCGGUGCAAGAGACCACCGGGCCGCUGGUAACAGUCGGUCGCAUGGCAAGCCUCAUCGGGAGCAAGGCCAAGCAGAAGGCGCACAUGGGCUGCUCGUCCAUUGCCUUCGGGUAGGCCGCUAGAGCCUGGCAGCAAUGUCAGGUCGAGAUGGAUGGCCAUCCGUGCCGGUUCGCCGGCAUGACAAAACCCGGGGUAUGAGGGGUCUCAUUUU